GUUAUAAAUAGAUACGUUCUUUCACUCGUCCCGAUAUCAACAAACCAAACCCAAUUACCGAUAGCCUAACUCCCUACCCAAACAUCGCCGUCCUUCGCCGGAGAUUAUACAGAACCAUCGUUUCAGAAUCAGAUACACAUAGCCUUGUUUGUUUCACUCUUCCACCUGUUAUCAAAAAACCCAAACACUCCAUGAAAUUAUCAACAUCGCUAGAAAUGGUUUUGCAAACAUCACAGAAACACUCUAUGAAAUGUGUGGUACAACAUUUAGGAGUUGAUCUAAUAGAUUAGAUAGCAAAAUGUUGUAUUCGUAUUUUUUAUAAUCCAGAUAAAUGCGAUCUUGUUGCAUCUGCUACAUGCAACAAGAUAACAUGUAUCUAGCACAUGCAACAAGGUCACAUUUAUCAGGAUUAUAUACAAUCUGAAUGCAAUGUAUUGCUAUCUACUCUAUUAUAUCACCUCCUAAAACUCUAUGCACUACAAAACUUUGCUACAACCAUAUCAAAUCCUGGAAUCCUGUUUAAACAGCUUUGGUGUAUAAAGUGCGUAUGAUUUCAACACAAAAGGCUUCAGAGACUAACCAAACCAAACUGUUAUUGGUUGUGACAAGGUGCUUUUGAAAAGAAAAAAAACACCAUGAUGGAUUCACAUUGUAAAAAAAAAUCAACACCAUUAGCACUCACAUACCCUAAACAAAUCCACUUUAGUUGUUGAAGUUCACAUGAUGAUUUUGUUUCUUUCCAAUACCUUGCUCUCAUCGGUUGCAAACUCUUUUGAAGAAGACAUGUCGAAUUCAGAAGAAGAAGAGUGUUUUCUUGGGAAAAGCUGGUAAAUAUAGGUUAGUAAUUGAAUGUGUAAAUCAUAGCCAUUAUUACUAGGUUAUCAUUGUAUGUAGGGGUUUUAUUCCUCGGUUUAAUCGGUUAUCAGUUAAUUCAUUUGGUUUGGUGUAAUCGUUUUUUCACCUAUAAAAUAUUAACCAAAACUGAAGAAAAUAAGGUUUGGGUAAA